rnacentral:ncRNA from 12 species
CAACUGGAUAGCUCGACGGGGCGAUAAGCGGUCUUCAUCACACUGUUUCCAGUUGUCCUUUCGUGAUG